rnacentral:rRNA from 1 species
GUCGAUUUCCCCGCAAGGGGAGUGGCAGUUUGGUGAGUAUUUCGUGGGAUUUUACCCUUCGGUUCGGAAUAACCCAGGGAAAUUGAGAGGGCUAAUACCGGAUUUUUCCGCAAGGAGAAAGGCUCACUGCCGAAGGAUUUUUCCGCGCGUCGGAUUAGCUAGUUGGUGGGGUAUUUGCCCACCAAGGCGUUUAUCCGUAGCUGGUCUGAGAGGAUGAUCAGCCACACUGGGACUGAGAUUGAGAUGCCCAGACUCCUUUUGGAGGCAGCAGUGGGGAAUAUUGGACAAUGGGCGAAAGCCUGAUCCAGCCAUGCCGCGUGAGUGAAGAAGGCCCUAGGGUUGUAAAGCUCCUCCAGCGGGGUUUAUAAUGUUUGUACCCGCAGAAGAAGCCCCGGCUAAUUGAGACGUGCCAGCAGCCGCGGUAAUUUUAAGGGGGCUAGCGUUGUUCGGACUCACUGGGCGUAAAGCGCGCGUAGGCGGAUUGUUAAGUCAGGGGUGAAAUCCCAGGGCUCAACCCUGGAACUGCCCUCGAUACUGGCAAUCUGGAGAUCGGGAGAGGUUGGUGGAAUUCCGAGUGUAGAGGUGAAAUUCGUAGAUAUUCGGAGGAACACCAGAAGCGAAGGUUUUCCGAACUGGCCCGAUACUGUUUCUGAGGCGCGAAAGCGUGGGGAGCAAACAGGAUUAGAUACCCCGGUAGUCCUUUCCGUAAA